CGGGUUUUUUUUUAUAAUCUGAGCCWUCUCGGCGCCUSUCGUAGGCGUUUCGAAAAUGAAUCAAAACUUUCAACAACGGAUCUCUUGGUUCUGGCAUCGAUGAAGAACGCAGCGAAAUGCGAUAAGUAAUGUGAAUUGCAGAAUUCAGUGAAUCAUCGAAUCUUUGAACGCACAUUGCGCCCGCCAGUAUUCUGGCGGGCAUGCCUGUCCGAGCGUCAUUUCAACCCUCGAACCCCUCCGGGGGGUCGGCGUUGGGGAUCGGCCUUCCUUCACGGGGGCCGUCUCCGAAAUACAGUGGCGGUCUCGCCGCAGCCUCUCCUGCGCAGUAGUUUGCACACUCGCAUCGGGAGCGCGGCGCGUCCACAGCCGUUAAACACCCAACUUUCUGAAAUGUUGACCUCGGAUCAGGUAGGAAUACCCGCUGAACUUA
rnacentral:rRNA from 1 species